UGUCUAAUAAGGGCAAAUGUCCUCAGCAUACGUCUAUCAGGAGAGUUUAGGAUAAAACCUUUGUAUGCAGUCCAUACUAUUUAGUUCCAAAAUAAAUUGUGUGUGACUUCGUGGAGAAAAAAAGUCCUCAGCAAAAAGAGUUCUUGGGAAGCAAAUGAAGAGUGAAGCACAAAGCAGAUGCACAGAUCGGGCAGCUUCGCAGAAUCAAAGGGUGCUAGUUAACACAUUGAGACACUGCUUCGACUUCCAAUCAGCCAAGAUAAAAACAAAAAGAGCCAGAACCAGGGCCCGGCUGAGCUGCGCUGGCCUUUCAGGAAGAUGCCUGGCAACCUGCAUCCGAAGCCUUCACACUGGUCCGGCCCUCGGAGCCAGUAAUGUUCCCUCGAGCAAACAAUCGGGUUUGUGCAGAACAUGCCCUGAGAAAACGGAGAAAAGCCUCCUAUGUUGAAAGCAUCCUUUCAACAGUAAAUCAGAAAAAAAUCAUACUCAGAGAACAGAAUCAUGUUUGGUGGAAAAAUAAGCUCAACCCAUGAUUUCUGAAGAGACGCAGGCUGCCGCUGACUCCCAGGGGAGAGUCAGUCCGGUCCGUGUAACCAAUUCGAUGAGGCAGGAAAGUCCGCGAGACGUUUUAUAAACAGUCCACUGGGGGUGGACAGGAGACAAAGGCGGGGCUUGCGUGGGUCAGGUGCCGGUUACCAGCACGGGAUUCGUUCGGACAUCCCAGGUACACAGGAGUCCCAGGGACGGCAGCUGGCUGCACCGGGGCAGAGGUUUGGCACUCACACCCUCCCAGCCGAACUCCCCUCCAAGAACACGCCCAAGUCAUUCUCCAGGCUGGGUUUGUAUAACUGUAUCAGCAUUUCCAGCAAGACAGGGUGUCUCGGAGCUUUUCAUCUGUAAAGUCCACCGAACUGGAUGUGGUUGGUUCAACGGUGACAACCUUUAGGCACAGCAAAAAACCAUGAAAGUGCCAUGAUGGGUUGGUCAUUAGGAUGGGUGAGGGGCUCUCGGGAGGCAGGUUAGGAUGCCUAGAUACACAUUCAUAGGAAAAUGGUUAAAAUAACUAUGCAAACUGUAAUAAUAAUACAAUAAUAUGGAGCCAUGAAAAUAAUAAGGUAACUGCAGACAGACCAAGAUGAGCCUAAGCGACCACAGCUUUCCGCAUCCUACAGGGCCAGGUUGAACACACGUGCAUGAGUGGGAGGCCAGGCCUGAUGCGUGCACAGGAAGACAACGGCACACAAGAAUAGUCAGGAAAACUCGGGGAAGUGAACAGCGAAGGCAGGGCUACUCCUACCACAGAGUCAAGCACAGGCCCACGACAUUCCAAACUGGAACUGGCACACGGACGGACAGAUAAAUGGUAAACAGGUGCAUUCCUCAGCACCUGCGGUGGGACAAUAGGCAACUAGCCCUCAGUCACUCAUCAUGGCAAAAUUAAGUCCAGAUAGAGCUGAGGUUCAAAUAAUAAUAAAACCUUAAAAGUUCUCAGCAAAACACGAGGUUUAACAAAAAAUCAUCUUGAGUGUGAUGAGUCUUUCUGAACUAUUCAUAAAAUCCAGAAGUCAUAAAACAUUUAUAAGUAUAAAUAUACUUAAGACUCUGAGAAGCAAAAAUUUAGCCUAACAUUUAAAGAUCAAUGACAAAAAAAUUACAAAAAAGGUCAAUGGAAAAUGGUAUUUGUGGCACAAACCACAAAGGGUUAACUUCUGUACUAUGUAAAGUGCUCUUUAAAAAUCCCUAAGUAGACAUCCCGAUAGAAAUACACACUUCAAACCUGCACGUGAAAUACUGCUUUCACGUCUCAUAUUGACAUUAAAUAACCAAGGUCAAGAACACAGAGCUGGUAAAGGUGCCAGAAAUGUCAAGCAAACCGCCUCCCUGGAGUGUAAGCUGCAGCUCCGGCCAGGUUAGAAAAGCCCAGGGCUGUGGCCCAAACCCCUCAAAGGAAACGUUCCCCAGAGACACCGCUGCCACGUACGUAAAACCCAGGGAGGAGACAGGCACUCGGAACAGCCUCACACACAGUGGAAACUGCUAAAAAUCAUGUAACUGUACCGCGAAAUGGGAAUGGGGAAUUCGAACAGGGAGCACCACGCAGACAGCGAGGCGCCGCGGGCAGCCCCUGAAUACAGCGAGCUCCGCCAUGUGCUGUUAACUGAACCACCCAGAGGGCAAGACAGCGCACGGGGGACAGCAGGACCUCAGAGAUCACGUCGGCAGAAUUCCCCAGAAAGAAAGUCCAGCAACUAACUGGCCCAAGGCCCGCCUCUGUGGGAGGGAGACGGGGUUAGAGAAAGACGUCCCAGCAUCUCCUCCGGGCCUGAAUUACUGCAAAAGCUUUUUACUCCUUUAAGUUAAAAAACUUAGAAGAGCCUUUGCCCUUGGAGUCAGCACAGGGCAGAGGCAGGGCCUUGCUCUGACAUACAGAUAGCGGGUCACACAGUUGUCAUGUCAAGACAAAGGGGGACAGUGCACUCAUCACCUGAGGCCGAGGGGAGAGAAUAAUGCUAGUGGGACAGGUCCCGGGCCUGCAGUUCCCAACAUCAGCUCCUCAGGACCUGCGAGGUGAAUGAGAGACAGGGCGCGUCCAUACCUGUGCUCCUGGCAUUUGGCGGCCUCUUCCAGGAGAGAGCAUGUACUUAAAGAACCGGAAGGCAGCCCAGGUUGUGCUGAGCAGGCAGGAGAUGGGCAGCUGUGCCCUCAUCCAAUCUCUCCUUUCCUCUUAGGACUAGAAAUGCCCACAGACAGAUGCCAGGUGGGAAGACUUCAACAGACCAAACCUCCAACCAGUGAAACAAUUCAAUGCUACUUUUCGCAAAUGUCACAACUGCUUUCCUAGAAGAGUUUGUCUUUCAACCUGCUUAGAGACUCUGAGGCUUGUUAGGCCCGUUCUUGCUUCGUGCUACCUAAGUCAGACACCGUCUCACGUGAAAAUCUGGUAUGGACAAGCAGUUUGCACAACUCAACAGUUUUAACUCAGUUUCAUAGCACAUUAGGAACAGGCCAACGUUAUUCCACUUUGGCAGCAGAAACUCUCAACCCAUCUCACAAGACUGAGAGCCCCAGACCCAGACAGCACAAGGAGGGGAGCGCUGCGGGCCGGGCAGGGCCGGGCCAGAGCACAUGAGAAUGCCGGGGGCGCGCACGUCCUGCAGGCAUUAAGAUCCCAGCGCUCGCUUAGCAGGUGCACAAGGAGUUGCUCCUAAGAAGCUCACGGCAGCACUGUUUGCAAUGGUCAGAAAACCCCAGAAAGAUGGAUUGUAUUUCAAUAAAAGUGUUAAUAAUAAUUAAAAAAAAAGAAAACCCCAGAAGUAAUCUUAAAAGCUCACCAACAGGAAGAUGGUUAAAAUACCUACACCAAAAUGUGCAAGGUGAAAUGUUAUGGAGCCAAGGAAACAACAAAUUAGUCACAAAACAGUAAGUACAUAUUGUACGCUUCCAUUUUAGGGCAGGGAGUAUAUUAGGAUAAAUCGUACCAUGUCCCUGGAGGGGGAAAAAAGGUCUGAAGGAAUAUAAAUGAAGUUAUCACUCAGUAAUUAUUCUUGGGAGAGGAAUAAUAGAGAAUAUUUUAUCUUCAUUGUUUUUCUACAAUGUCCUAAGUUUUAAAUAGAUUAGUCAUUUAUAAAGAGAUUAAAAUAAAUCCUGCCACAAACAUACACUCAAGAGUCCCCACAUUACAACACUACAUAUGGUAUAAUAACAUUAGCCAUGAACUUACCUAAAUUUGCCAAGUUUUGGUCCCUUUGACAGUGGCUGCAGAGUGUUCGGCUGGGCAUCCUCACAACAUGAGUAAUUAAAAAAAAAAUCACACCUCGAGAAAAUUAAAAAUGAUUAUGUGGCUUGGACUCUGGGAUCCCUAUGAGCAUUAAGUCCACAAAUGUUAAACCCACAGAUGUCGAGAGUCCAUUGCACCCACCGAAGUCUCUGUGGCUCACUGUGAAUACGCCGCCCGUCAAAGCAGGCAGAAAUUUUCGAGCUUGCUACACAGAGUGUCCAAGAGGGGUGGACAAACAGACACUCGCAGUCGGGGAUGCGAUCCCCACGCCCACGCCGGAGGCCCGCAGGGCGAGCUGAGCGCUGACCCGGCCUGUGACCCAGCAAUUCUGCAUCUUGGUACCGGAGAAACAGCCACGUGUGUGCAUACGGGGCGGGUAUGAGGAUGAUUCCACGGCAUCCAAAGGCACUGGAAAGCGUGUAAACGUUGAUCGGCAGCAGAACAGCUAAAGAACUCACAGACUGUUCCAGAAAAAGAACACCACGCAGCCGCUUAGCACGACAACAGCAGCCUGUGGGUGCUCUCUGACCCCCCCCUCGCUAAGUGAAAAAAGCAAGUCAGUAAUGAUAUAUGAUCUAGAACAGUAUUUUCCACUUACAUGGAUGUUUUUAUAUUAGAUGUAGAUAAAAAUGACUAGAAAAAGGUGUGGCAGCAAACAGCCAGCUGGGGGUGGGUGGGGUACUGGUAGUGCCCACCUGUCAGUCAGGCUUUAAUUCUGUUCACAAGAGCGUCCACCAAUCACUUACCUAUUUCCCUUAAAAUAAGAGAAGCAGCGGGAAACAUCAGUUAACCGCGUUAUAGUCACAAGAGACUCCAAGUGAACACACACGGUCAAGAGUGAAUCUUAAUACUGGUAAAGGAGAAAAGCUUCAGAAGAUUUGAUACGAUGUAAUACCUUUUCUAUAAAGUUAAAAACAACUAAAAUGAAAACAGUUUAAAAACAUUUAGGUAAGUUUUUUUUCCAAAGUUCUAUGAAAAGAAAGCAAGUAAAAGAUAACCCCACCUUCAGGGCCAUGAUUACGCCGGCCCAGGGGAGGCAGCGGGGAGACUUGGGGAGGAGGUGGGGACGGCGACGACGACACAGGCAGAGUAAGUAACUGGCCAAAGUCCUGGUUUAUACACCGAAGAGAAGAUUCAGCAUGUGCACCACAUUCUUAAAAACACCGAGGAACCAAAGAAGAGCCAUGUUAUGUCUGGAACCAAGGACUAACCGCAUUCAGUUCCGACAAGGAGACAGAAGUCUUGCCCUGAGGAGUAUCACAGCUUCCACUCUGACUUCAGAACAUAAGGAGCAUUUUAUAACAUAAUGAACAGUGACAGUCAUUAAAAUUCAUUGUAUUUGAUGAGAAACAAAAACUAGAGAUUAAAAUUUUGAGAAACAGAUUCAGGCAGAUAAUUAUUAAGCUAAUAUUGACAGAUCUAGAACAAAACAGCAAUGACAGUAUUUACUCAAUUAAAAAAGUAUGAUAUUUCACCUUUGCCAGUGUUAAGGAAUUAAUUACAUACGCUCCUGGGUUGGAUUCCUAACACCGUAAAUGGAGCAGAGCACCCAGUGUAAUGGGGGAGGACAUGCAUGUUUAGUUACUAAAGAAAAAUGUAAUUAGAAGCAAACCCAAUAGUCUCAUUAGAUAUUAUCAGACUUAUCACAUCAAAUUUUUAAUACUCUUUGUAUAAGAGAUAGCUUUGUACACAACAAAGAUAAGAAAAAAUGAGAGUAAGUUUGACAAUCACCAGCAAAAGCUUCCCUUCCCAACUCUACAAAGAAUUCAUGAUCUUUAUAAAAAUCAACAUGGUUGUUUUACAAUGUAAGUAAAUGGUCAAAGCAGAAAAAUGCAGCUGAUAAACCAAGUGGCAAAAUAGACUAGACAGUAAUUACAGAAAUAAGACUGAUUACUAAAGAACUUUUAAGAGCAGCAAUAAAUACUUCAUAACAUUGGAUUUGGCAACAUUUUCUUGGACAUGACACCAAAAGCACAGGUAACAAAAGUAAAAACAGAUAAACUGAAUUACAUCGAAAUUAAAAGCAUCAAAAGACACAAUCAAUAGUGAAAAGGCAACUCUGAAAUGGAAACAAUUUUUGUAAACCACUUAUCUAAUGAAGGGUUAGUAUCAGAAUAUAUAAAUAACUCCCACAAAUCAAAACCCAAAAAACCUGUUUUGUUUUUUUUGUAAUGGGCAAAAGACCUGAAGAGGCAUUUCUUCAAAGCUGAUACACAAAUGACCAACUAGCAUUUGGAAAGAUGUUCAACACCACUAAUUAUGAGGGAAGUUCAAAGCAAAACCACCAUGAAAUCCUUCAUACCCAUCAGGCUGCUAUAAAGAAACAAGCACUGGUGAAGAAGCGGAAAAUGGGAACCCUUGUCAACUGUUGGGAGGAGGGUAAAAUGGUGUAGCUGUUAUGGAAAACAGUAUGGCAGUUCCCUCCAAAAUGCAGCAAUACCACCUAUAUACCCCCAAAGAACUGAAAGCAGUGUCUCCAAAAGGUAUUUGUACACCCAUGUUCAUAAGCGCAUUAUUCACAGUAACAGAAGUGGAACAAGCCAGGUGCUCACGGAUGGCUGAAUGGAUCGAUAAGACGUGGCGCGCGUACCACGGGACGCUCUUCUACAAAGGGAAGCAUCUUGAUAUGUGGAAUAACACACACGAACCUAGAGGAGAUCACGGAGUAAAAUAAGCCAGUGCCGACAAGACAAACACUAUAUGGUUCCACUUAAUAAGAGGUGCCUAAAGUUGUCGAACCCAUAGAAACAGAGAAGUAGAAUGGUGGCCGCCAGGGCUGGGGGAGAAGGGAAUGAGGAGUUUCAGGGGCACAGAGGUUUCAAUUUUGCAAGCUGAGAAAGUUUCGGGGAUUGGUUAUAUUCACAACAACGUGAAUAAACUUAACGCUACUGAAUUGUACACGUUAAAAUGGUUAAGAUGGUGACAUUUGUGUUGUGUGUAUUUUACCAUACAAUAAAUAAAACAGAAAAACCU
rnacentral:lncRNA from 1 species